rnacentral:rRNA from 1 species
AUUGAACGCUGGCGGCAUGCUUUACACAUGCAAGUCGGACGGCAGCACAGAGAAGCUUGCUUCUUGGGUGGCGAGUGGCGAACGGGUGAGUAAUAUAUCGGAACGUACCGAGCAGUGGGGGAUAACUAAUCGAAAGAUUAGCUAAUACCGCAUAUUUUCUGAGGAAGAAAGCAGGGGACCAUUUGGCCUUGCGCUGUUUGAGCGGCCGAUAUCUGAUUAGCUAGUUGGUGGGGUAAAGGCCUACCAAGGCGACGAUCAGUAGCGGGUCUGAGAGGAUGAUCCGCCACACUGGGACUGAGACACGGCCCAGACUCCUACGGGAGGCAGCAGUGGGGAAUUUUGGACAAUGGGCGCAAGCCUGAUCCAGCCAUGCCGCGUGUCUGAAGAAGGCCUUCGGGUUGUAAAGGACUUUUGUCAGGGAAGAAAAGGGCGGGGUUAAUACCCCUGUCUGAUGA